rnacentral:rRNA from 1 species
CACCGGAGCUUGCUCCACCGGGAAAAGAGGAGUGGCGAACGGGUGAGUAACACGUGGGUAACCUGCCCAUCAGAAGGGGAUAACACUUGGAAACAGGUGCUAAUACCGUAUAACAAUCGAAACCGCAUGGUUUCGUUUUGAAAGGCGCUUUACGGUGCCGCUGAUGGAUGGACCCGCGGUGCAUUAGCUAGUUGGUGAGGUAACGGCUCACCAAGGCCACGAUGCAUAGCCGACCUGAGAGGGUGAUCGGCCACAUUGGGACUGAGACACGGCCCAAACUCCUACGGGAGGCAGCAGUAGGGAAUCUUCGGCAAUGGACGNAAGUCUGACCGAGCAACGCCGCGUGAGUGAAGAAGGUUUUCGGAUCGUAAAACUCUGUUGUUAGAGAAGAACAAGGGUGAGAGUAACUGUUCACCCCUUGACGGUAUCUAACCAGAAAGCCACGGCUAACUACGUGCCAGCAGCCGCGGUAAUACGUAGGUGGCAAGCGUUGUCCGGAUUUAUUGGGCGUAAAGCGAGCGCAGGCGGUUUCUUAAGUCUGAUGUGAAAGCCCCCGGCUCAACCGGGGAGGGUCAUUGGAAACUGGGAGACUUGAGUGCAGAAGAGGAGAGUGGAAUUCCAUGUGUAGCGGUGAAAUGCGUAGAUAUAUGGAGGAACACCAGUGGCGAAGGCGGCUCUCUGGUCUGUAACUGACGCUGAGGCUCGAAAGCGUGGGGAGCAAACAGGAUUAGAUACCCUGGUAGUCCACGCCGU